rnacentral:rRNA from 1 species
CCUACGGGAGGCAGCAGUGGGGGAUAUUGCACAAUGGGGGGAACCCUGAUGCAGCGACGCCGCGUGGGUGAAGGAGCGUUUCGGCGCGUAAAGCCCUAUCGGCAGGGAAGAAGGAGGACGGUACCUGACUAAGAAGCCCCGGCUAACUACGUGCCAGCAGCCGCGGUGAUACGUAGGGGGCAAGCGUUAUCCGGAUUUACUGGGCGUAAAGGGGGCGCAGACGGCAGCGCAAGCCAGGAGGGAAAGCCCGGGGACCAACCCCGGGACUGCUCUUGGAACUGCGCGGCUGGAGUGCAGGAGGGGCAGGCGGAAUUCCUGGUGUAGCGGUGAAAUGCGUAGAUAUCAGGAGGAACACCGGUGGCGAAGGCGGCCUGCUGGACUGCGACUGACGUUGAGGCCCGAAAGCGUGGGGAGCAAACAGGAUUAGAUACCCGGGUAGUC